AAAGCUAGGGGAGCAAACGGGAUUAGAUACCCCGGUAGUCCUAGCUCUAAACGAUGGGCACUAGCUAGGGGGGAUACCUAUUGUCCUCUCUGGCGAAGCAAAUGUGAUAAGUGCCCCGCCUGGGGAGUACGUCGCAAGGCUAAAACUCAAAGGAAUUGACGGGGGCUCACACAAGCGGUGGAGCAUGUUGUUCAAUUCGAUGCAACGCGAAGAACCUUACCCAGGCCUGAAUGCAGGGAUUAAGCCGUGAAAGCGGCGGAUUGCCUUCGGGUGUAACCUGCACUGGUGUUGCAUGGCUGUCGUCAGCUCGUGUCGUGAGAUGUUGGGUUAAGUCCCGUAACGAGCGAAACCCCUAUUGCUAGUUACCAACGGGUAACGCCGGGGACUCUAGCGAGACUGCCGUUGUCAAGACGGAGGAGGGUGGGGACGACGUCAAGUCAUCAUGGCCUGUAUGCCUGGGGCCACAAACGUGCUACAAUGGCUGGGACAAAGGGUCGCCAAACCGCAAGGUGGAGCAAAUCCCAAAAACCCAGCCCCAGUUCGGAUUGCAGGCUGCAACUCGCCUGCAUGAAGUUGGAAUCGCUAGUAAUCGCGGAUCAGCUACGCCGCGGUGAAUAUGUUCCUGAGCCUUGUACACACCGCCCGUCAAGCCACGAAAGCUGGGAGCGCCCGAAGUCGCUAGUCCAACCGCAAGGGGGACGGCGCCGAAGGCGAGCUCGGUGAUUGGGACUAAGUCGUAACAAGGUAACC
rnacentral:rRNA from 1 species